UGAGACGGAGACGGAGGCGGAGGCGGCGGCUGCUGCUCUUCGUGCGGUGCGUUUGAUGCGGCGCAUGUGGUUGAGGACGGCGACGCACUCGUCGAGGGCGAGUUCGAUGCCGAAGUUUGCUUUGAUGACGGCGAGCUUCUCCCAGGUGCAUCUCCUUCCUUGGUUUGCUGCCUUUUGAUGAUCUUUAAUCUUGGUAAUGAACUGUUCCGCUUUGGCUCGGUUUGGUUCAGUUCGGUUGAGUUAAAUUUCGAAACCCUAUUGAUGAUGAUACACGUAUAUAAAAAAUAGAUAAGAGCUGGUAUUAUAUAGAUUUCAUGUGUAACUAAGGUUAAAGAUUUCUUGCAUUGCACGUACUGAAACUUUCUUUCAGGACUUCGACGGCGAUGAACUGAUGUGUUGUGUUGCACAAAUAGAAAAAUUACUCAAUUAAUAACUUUUGGUUUUUUUUGUGUGGUUUUCUUUCAUCCAUGAUCCAAACUCAUUAUUUCACAUAAAUAUAUAUUUUGAAAAUAGUAACUUUGACUAUAAUAAAUAAUAGGGAUUUUAUUAGUAACCCACCAAUUGAGAAAAAAUGAUAUCAUUAACUUGUUUUGUUUGGGCUAAGAGGAUUGACACGAUCAUUAUGCGAUUUUGCAUGAAUUUACUAUGACAUAUAUGAUAUAUGUCUAUAACGGCCAUUUAAGUUCAGCAAUUCCACAAAUGCAAUGAAUCAAAAGAUUUUAUCAUUCUAUAGGCCACCAUUAGGUUUUUUUCCUAUCAUGGUCUUACCUCACUUUCCUCAUUUGGAGUUAGAUACAAUGAAAACCCUUGGUGCAAAAAUAGUUCCUUUUGAGUACUCCUAUACAAUGAACGAACAUGCAUAUUGAUGCAAAUGGAAAAUAAAUAAUGGAUAGUGUCUACAAAUUCAACACUUUGUCUUAACUUUCUUUUUCUUUUUAAUCACAGAAACAUUUGACAAGCAUGGUGGAGAAAGCCUCCAUUGAAGACGUGAUGAAAGUACUAAUAGCUUCAAGAAAGCAAGACAUGCAUCAGUUAUGGACCACAUGCUCCUACCUAGUCGCCAAAUCUGGUUUUCCAACAGAAAUUCUAGCCAAACAUCUCCCAAUCGAACUCUUAGGCAAGGUUGAGGAGCUUCGUCUCAAAUCAUCGAUACCUCUACGUUCUCUAAUGCCUCACCAACAAGACCAAAACUCGGCUCUAAACCUAGAGGACCAGAAGAUCAAGAGGAUGAGACGAGCAUUAGACUCCUCGGAUUUUGAGCUAGUAAAGCUAAUGGUUAUGGGAGAAGGACUCAAUCUAGACGAGUCAUUAGCUUUGUUUUACGCGGUGGAGAAUUGUAGUAGAGAGGUUGUGAAGGCACUUCUUGAGCUUGGAGCAGCUGAUGUGAACCAUCCGGCAGGUCCCACCAGGAAAACCGCACUCCACAUCGCAGCUGAGAUGGUCUCUCCGGAUAUGGUGGCCGUGUUACUUGACCACCAUGCUGAUCCAACCGUUCAGACAGUUGAUGGUAUCACUCCUCUUGACAUCCUUAGAACCCUAACUUCAGAUUUCUUGUUUAAGGGGACAAUUCAUGGAUUGACUCACAUUGAGCCUAAUAAGCUCAGACUUUGUCUCGAGCUGGUCCAGUCUGCUGCAAUGGUGAUUUCUCGAGAAGAAGGGAACAAUAACAAUAACGUUAACAACACCGUGAUCUACCCUAGGAUGAAAGACAAACGCACGAAGGGGAGUAGUUUGGAUUCAAGAUUGGUUUAUCUUAAUCGUGGAGCUACAAAUCCGGAUUUUGGAGAUGAACAUGGCAUUCAAACGGAAGAAACGGGCCUGCAUCAUCAUCAUUAUCAUGACCCGUCAACGAUGUAUCAUCAUCAUCACCACCACCACUUCUAGGUUUUCUUCUAAGACGAUCAUUUUCUAGUUAUGAUAAGACAUAUUCAAGAACUAGUUAAUUUUUGGUUGUGGUCUUUUUCUAUGUGAAUAUAUGGACAUGCGACACAUGCCAACAAAUGUAAACGUUUAUUCCAUGAAAAGUGAAAGGAAAUGAGAAGACAAAGGAGGCCACAAACAAAAGGGCCAUUUACUUAUGUAGAAUAUAAAAACAACAAUAGUUUAUUUGUUUUUGGAAUCAAUGAAGCCUUUUAUAAAAAAAAUGAGACACUAAAAAUAGUUUUGACCAUAUAUAUACACUAGAUUCGGAUUUAUGCGUCGCGGAAGUAACUGUAUAACAAAACAAAACAAAAAUAUAUAACUAUCUCAAUUAUCAAAGAUUCUUUUUAUUUAAGUCAAAUACAUAUGAUUAUAAAAUAUACAGUUCAUUUGAAUUGUCAUGUAUUUCAGUAAAAAAAUUAUUGUGUUAAAAAAAAAAAAAAAACUUCACGACAAUGUUAACGUGUACAAAUACAAUAGGUUAAACCCAAGUAAUUAUUCGACUCUUGAAGAAAUCUCGAAUAUUGGGUAAUUAUGAUUUCAGUGAAACUCAAACUGACAUUCUCAAAAGAUUUUCAUUUGCAAUUCCAAGUUAUACAGAGCGUCUAUCUAAAACUUAAAAAUAUGGUAGAUCAGUUAAGCUCGAGCAUUAACUUAUGUAUAACAUUAUUCUUUAGAAAUCGUAGUUAAAUCAUUAAUUAAUUUUUUCUUUGGUGGCAGAAUAAAAUAACAAUCAAACAAAAAGUUUCAUCACUAAAAUAAAUUUUUUACAAAAUAUAAAGGACUGUACUACAAAAUUUAAAAGUAACCAUAUAAGAUUUACAACAUAUUUCUUUCCAAAAAAGGAAACAUCAACCAUUACUCGUGGUGGCUUAGGUUCGUAUCCACCACCGUCUCUACCUCCGCGUCUCCGUCUUCAGACGCCGAGCUACCUCUAUCAAUAUCCUUCUCCGGAGAAUCAAGCUGAACGCACUCGGGAGCUUCAUCAACGUUUUGCCUAUCCUCCACAUCUUGAUUAUUCCUCCUCAAACUCUCCCCUCUAACAAGAUUCAACACGAAUCCAUUAUGCGUCCUCCCCGUCUGCAGAUAAUCCCCUUCCGCCACCGUGAUGCUCCUCGACGAAGCGUCCCCGUUCAAAUCAACCCCCGGAUCAGCACCGUCGAGAUUCUGAACGUAGUCCAUGAACAUCUGAGCAGACGUGGUCCUCUCCAACGGUCCGCCAGACCUAGUCCAGUCUCCAGCCUCCGGGGAAUCUCCGUCGUGCGAGCUGUUGCAGUUACCGCCUCGGUGGACGACGAGUUGCUGGUAGAGCAACGCGGCUUCGGCGAGGACGUCGUCGUCGACGGAUCCGGCUGAGUUCUCGCGCGCGAUGCAGUUCCAGGAAGGGAUUCUUCUGGAGGCGCUGAAUCUGGUGGGGCCUACGGGUAGAGGAUGUUGGGAGGAGGAUGAGACGGAGACGGAGGCGGAGGCGGCGGCUGCUGCUCUUCGUGCGGUGCGUUUGAUGCGGCGCAUGUGGUUGAGGACGGCGACGCACUCGUCGAGGGCGAGUUCGAUGCCGAAGUUUGCUUUGAUGACGGCGAGCUUCUCCCAGGUGCAUCUCCUUCCUUGGUUUGCUGCCUUUUGGAUCUCUACGUUGGAUGGGUUUUGUAUGAUCUUCAAGUACUGUAUAUGAAACA
rnacentral:lncRNA from 1 species